rnacentral:rRNA from 1 species
GAUGAACGCUGGCGGCGUGCUUAACACAUGCAAGUCGAACGAUGAAGCCCAGCUUGCUGGGUGGAUUAGUGGCGAACGGGUGAGUAACACGUGAGUAACCUGCCCUUAACUCUGGGAUAAGCCUGGGAAACUGGGUCUAAUACCGGAUAGGAGCGUCCACCGCAUGGUGGGUGUUGGAAAGAUUUAUCGGUUUUGGAUGGACUCGCGGCCUAUCAGCUUGUUGGUGAGGUAAUGGCUCACCAAGGCGACGACGGGUAGCCGGCCUGAGAGGGUGACCGGCCACACUGGGACUGAGACACGGCCCAUACUCCUACGGGAGGCAGCAGUGGGGAAUAUUGCACAAUGGGCGCAAGCCUGAUGCAGCGACGCCGCGUGAGGGAUGACGGCCUUCGGGUUGUAAACCUCUUUCAGUAGGGAAGAAGCGAAAGUGACGGUACCUGCAGAAGAAGCACCGGCUAACUACGUG